AUCAACGCUGGCGGCGUGCCUAAUGCAUGCAAGUCGAACGGGGUGGCCUUCGGGCCGCUUACGUGGCGGACGGGUGAGGAACACGUGGGCAACCUGCCCAAUGGUGGGGGAUAACCGCUGGAAACAGCGGGUAAUACCGCAUGAGCUUAUUGUUCGAGUGGGGACGAUAAGGAAAGCCUUCGGGCGCCGAUGGAGGGGCCUGCGUCCGAUUAGCUAGACGGUGGGGUAACGGCCUACCGUGGCGAUGAUCGGUAGCUGGGUUGAGAGGAUGAUCAGCCACACGGGGACUGAGACACGGCCCCGACUCCUACGGGAGGCAGCAGCAAGGAAUUUUCCGCAAUGGGCGCAAGCCUGACGGAGCAACGCCGCGUGUGGGAUGACGCUUUUCGGAGUGUAAACCACUGUUCGUGGGGACGAAGCACUGACGGUACCCACGGAGGAAGGCCCGGCUAACUACGU
rnacentral:rRNA from 1 species